rnacentral:rRNA from 1 species
UAGGGAAUCUUCCACAAUGGACGAAAGUCUGAUGGAGCAACGCCGCGUGAGUGAUGAAGGGUUUCGGCUCGUAAAACUCUGUUGUUGGAGAAGAACAGGUGUGAGAGUAACUGUUCACAUCUUGACGGUAUCCAACCAGAAAGCCACGGCUAACUACGUGCCAGCAGCCGCGGUAAUACGUAGGUGGCAAGCGUUGUCCGGAUUUAUUGGGCGUAAAGCGAGCGCAGGCGGUUUCUUAGGUCUGAUGUGAAAGCCUUCGGCUUAACCGGAGAAGUGCAUCGGAAACCAGGAGACUUGAGUGCAGAAGAGGACAGUGGAACUCCAUGUGUAGCGGUGAAAUGCGUAGAUAUAUGGAAGAACACCAGUGGCGAAGGCGGCUGUCUGGUCUGUAACUGACGCUGAGGCUCGAAAGCAUGGGUAGCGAACAGGAUUAGAUACCCUGGUAGUCCAUGCCGUAAACGAUGAGUGCUAAGUGUUGGAGG